rnacentral:rRNA from 1 species
GAUCAUGGCUCAGAGCGAACGCUGGCGGCAGGCCUAAAACAUGCAAGUCGAACGGAUCCUUCGGGAUUAGUGGCGGACGGGUGAGUAACACGUGGGAACGUGCCUUUUGGUUCGGAACAACUCAGGGAAACUUGAGCUAAUACCGAAUGUGCCCUUCGGGGGAAAGAUUUAUCGCCAUUAGAGCGGCCCGCGUCUGAUUAGCUUGUUGGUGAGGUAAAGGCUCACCAAGGCGACGAUCAGUAGCUGGUCUGAGAGGAUGAUCAGCCACACUGGGACUGAGACACGGCCCAGACUCCUACGGGAGGCAGCAGUUAGGAAUCUUGCGCAAUGGGGGAAACCCUGACGCAGCCAUGCCGCGUGAAUGAUGAAGGUCUUAGGAUUGUAAAAUUCUUUCAGCGGGGACGAUAAUGACGGUACCCGCAGAAGAAGCCCCGGCUAACUUCGUG